rnacentral:lncRNA from 10 species
CUAACACGGAGAAACCCCGUCUCUACUAAAAACACACAAAAAAUUAGCCGGGCGUGGUGGCGGGUGCCUGUAGUCCCAGCACUCGGGAGGCUGACGCAGGAGAAUGGCGUGAACCUGGGAGGCGGAGCUUGCAGUCAGCGGAGAUCGCGCCACUGCGCUCCAGCCUGGGCGACAGAACGAGACUCAGUCAAAAAUAAAAAAGCCAUGAAGAAUAAAUGGAUAUGGUGAUGACACUAAAGUUCAGGUUCUGUGGAAUUUAGAUUCAUUUCCUAGCAAGAGGCAGUUGGCAAUUUUUAAAUUCCUGUUUGAAACUAUAUUUAGGCUAAGCUUUAAAAAAUAAAUGAAAAAGAAUUUUUCUAUGAUUCGUUAAAAAGAAAAAAAGGCCUUGGUUUCCAAUCCUCAGUACUACGUUACUACUAAGUAUUUAGGUGCCAUGGGAAGAAUCAUUUCCCUCUCUUGGCCUCACGGGUUUCCAUAUAUGCCCAGGAAACUGAGCUAGUCUCUACCAGCCAUAAACUUAUCAUGGAAUAUUUUUUAAAUUUAGAUAAAUAUGUAAGUAAAUCUAGGAUGCUGGAAUUUCCUCUGAGUGG